CCUACGGGAGGCAGCAGUGGGGAAUUUUGGACAAUGGGCGCAAGCCUGAUCCAGCAAUGCCGCGUGAGUGAAGAAGGCCUUCGGGUUGUAAAGCUCUUUUGUCAGGGAAGAAACGGUGGGGGCUAAUAUCUCCUACUAAUGACGGUACCUGAAGAAUAAGCACCGGCUAACUACGUGCCAGCAGCCGCGGUAAUACGUAGGGUGCAAGCGUUAAUCGGAAUUACUGGGCGUAAAGCGUGCGCAGGCGGUUUUGUAAGUCUGUCGUGAAAGCCCCGGGCUCAACCUGGGAAUUGCGAUGGAGACUGCAAGGCUUGAAUCUGGCAGAGGGGGGUAGAAUUCCACGUGUAGCAGUGAAAUGCGUAGAGAUGUGGAGGAACACCGAUGGCGAAGGCAGCCCCCUGGGUCAAGAUUGACGCUCAUGCACGAAAGCGUGGGGAGCAAACAGGAUUAGAUACCCUGGUAGUCCACGCCCUAAACGAUGUCUACUAGUUGUCGGGUUUUAAUUAACUUGGUAACGCAGCUAACGCGUGAAGUAGACCGCCUGGGGAGUACGGUCGCAAAGNUUAAAACUUCAAAUGAAAUUGACCGGNUUGNGAGNGCGAGACGACGACGAGGAGGAGG
rnacentral:rRNA from 1 species